ACUGCGGUGGUGUAGUGGUUAACGCUCCAGACUUUAAUCUUUGGGGGGUCUCAGGUUCGAUGCCUUGCGUCUGUU